rnacentral:rRNA from 1 species
UCGGACUGCAGUCUGCAACUCGACUGCACGAAGCUGGAAUCGCUAGUAAUCGCGGAUCAGCACGCCGCGGUGAAUACGUUCCCGGGCCUUGUACACACCGCCCGUCACACCAUGGGAGUCGGUAACACCCGAAGCCGAUAGUCUAACGAAAGAGGACGUCGUCGAAGGUGGGAUUGAUGACUGGGGUGAAGUCGUAACAAGGUACC